GGCAGUAAUGGUACUACAAGGAUGCCAGCUGCUGUAAAACACUCAAAGAAGAAGAAGAAAAGGGAGGCUGAAUCAAAAUGCAGUAUGACAAGAUGGCAACUUCCCAAAUAACCUGCUUCCUUGAAUGGAUUCCUGGAAUACCCCAUGCCUUCUACACUGAAGCUCUCAGAUCAGCGUCCCUCGGGAGGAGGCAAAAGACUCUGUUGCACUGCAAGAAAAGGAUUUAGAUAUCGGCAGCGUUGGACGAUCGUGAGGAUCCCCGUGGAGCUGCCUCCAAGAAGGAUCCUAAUAUCACGUAUCAGUUAGAUGACCAAGUUCAGGGCCUGCUGCAGCUCAGCGCCGGUUGCUCGGAUCAAUGGAAUACUGCUGGGGAUACGACGCACCACACCCACAUCCUGAGCGGACCCUCUGAUUGGACGACGAUCACAUGGACGUCUUGACCACUGCCACGGCUUUCAUGCAAAUUGAUGAAGGAGCAAAAGAAGCAGCUGUGAGAAGCCUGGAAGGUCCCCCAACUCUGCCCCUCACCUGUGUCACAUCUGCCUGCCAGUGCCAUCAAGG